ACCCUGAACGAGCAAUGCCGCGUGAGUGAAGAAGGUCUUCGGAUCGUAAAGCUCUGUUGUAAGAGAAAAACGACAUUCAUAGGGAAUGAUGAGUGAGUGAUGGUAUCUUACCAGAAAGUCACGGCUAACUACGUGCCAGCAGCCGCGGUAAUACGUAGGUGGCGAGCGUUAUCCGGAAUGAUUGGGCGUAAAGGGUGCGUAGGUGGCAGAUCAAGUCUGGAGUAAAAGGUAUGGGCUCAACCCGUACUGGCUCUGGAAACUGAUCAGCUAGAGAACAGAAGAGGACGGCGGAACUCCAUGUGUAGCGGUAAAAUGCGUAGAUAUAUGGAAGAACACCGGUGGCGAAGGCGGCCGUCUGGUCUGGAUUCUGACACUGAAGCACGAAAGCGUGGGGAGCAAAUAGGAUUAGAUACCCUAGUAGUCCACGCCGUAAACGAUGAGAACUAGGUGUUGGGGGAAUAACUCAGUGCCGCAGUUAACGCAAUAAGUUCUCCGCCUGGGGAGUAUGCACGCAAGUGUGAAACUCAAAGGAAUUGACGGGGGCCCGCACAAGCGGUGGAGUAUGUGGUUUAAUUCGAAGCAACGCGAAGAACCUUACCAGGCCUUGACAUCCCUUGCAGAGGUAUAGAGAUAUAUCCGAGGUUAUCAAGGAGACAGGUGGUGCAUGGUUGUCGUCAGCUCGUGUCGUGAGAUGUUGGGUUAAGUCCCGCAACGAGCGCAACCCUUGUGAUAUGUUACUAACAUUGAGUUGAGGACUCAUAUCAGACUGCCGGUGAUAAACCGGAGGAAGGUGGGGAUGACGUCAAAUCAUCAUGCCCCUUAUGGCCUGGGCUACACACGUACUACAAUGGCGUCUACAAAGAGCGGCAAGCCUGUGAAGGCAAGCGAAUCUCAUAAAGGACGUCUCAGUUCGGAUUGAAGUCUGCAACCCGACUUCAUGAAGCUGGAAUCGCUAGUAAUCGCGAAUCAGCAUGUCGCGGUGAAUACGUUCUCGGGCCUUGUACACACCGCCCGUCAAACCAUGGGAGUUGGUAAUGCCCGAAGCCGGUGGCAUAACCUUUCGAGGAGUGAGCCGUCGAAGGCAGGACCGAUGACUGGGGUUAAGUCGUAACAAGGUAUCCCUACGGGAACGUGGGGAUG
rnacentral:rRNA from 1 species